rnacentral:miRNA from 1 species
ACAUCACUAUUGUAGAACCUAAGAUUGGCCUUUUCAGCUAUCUUUUCAGGUUUCUGCAUUUCUGAUG